rnacentral:rRNA from 1 species
UACGAAGGGUGCAAACGUUGCUCGGAAUUAUUGGGCGUAAAGCGCACGUAGGCGGCUUGGCAAGUCGGGUGUGAAAGCCCCGGGCUCAACCUGGGAAUUGCAUUCGAGACUGCGUAGCUAGGGUGCGGAAGAGGGAAGCGGAAUUUCCGGUGUAGCGGUGAAAUGCGUAGAUAUCGGAAGGAACACCAGUGGCGAAAGCGGCUUCCUGGUCCAGCACCGACGUUCAGGCACGAAAGCGUGGGGAGCAAACAGG